rnacentral:rRNA from 1 species
GACGAACGCUGGCGGCGUGCUUAACACAUGCAAGUCGAACGGAAAGGCCUUUUCGGAGGUACUCGAGUGGCGAACGGGUGAGUAACACGUGGGUGAUCUGCCCUGCACUCUGGGAUAAGCCUGGGAAACUGGGUCUAAUACCGGAUAGGACCGCACUUUAGUGUAUGUGGUGGAAAGUUUUUUCGGUGUAGGAUGAGCCCGCGGCCUAUCAGCUUGUUGGUGGGGUAAUGGCCUACCAAGGCGGCGACGGGUAGCCGGACUGAGAGGUUGGUCGGCCACAUUGGGACUGAGAUACGGCCCAGACUCCUACGGGAGGCAGCAGUGGGGAAUAUGGCACAAUGGGCGCAAGCCUGAUGCAGCGACGCCGCGUGGGGGAUGACGGCCUUCGGGUUGUAAACUCCUUUCGCCAGGGACGAAGCGUUUUGUGACGGUACCUGGAGAAGAAGCACCGGCUAACUACGUG